GAUGAACGCUGGCGGCGUGCCUAAUACAUGCAAGUCGAGCGAACGGACGAGAAGCUUGCUUCUCUGAUGUUAGCGGCGGACGGGUGAGUAACACGUGGAUAACUUACCUAUAAGACUGGGAUAACUUCGGGAAACCGGAGCUAAUACCGGAUAAUAUUUUGAACCGCAUGGUUCAAAAGUGAAAGACGGUCUUGCUGUCACUUAUAGAUGGAUCCGCGCUGCAUUAGCUAGUUGGUAAGGUAACGGCUUACCAAGGCAACGAUGCAUAGCCGACCUGAGAGGGUGAUCGGCCACACUGGAACUGAGACACGGUCCAGACUCCUACGGGAGGCAGCAGUAGGGAAUCUUCCGCAAUGGGCGAAAGCCUGACGGAGCAACGCCGCGUGAGUGAUGAAGGUCUUCGGAUCGUGAAACUCUGUUAUUAGGGAAGAACAUAUGUGUAAGUAACUGUGCACAUCUUGACGGUACCUAAUCAGAAAGCCACGGCUAACUACGUG
rnacentral:rRNA from 1 species